ACACGACUACAUUAGAUACCCGGGUAGUCCUAGCCGUAAACGAUACUCGCUAGGUGUCGGCCACGGUGGCGACCGUUGUCGGUGCCGUAGGGAAGCCGUGAAGCGAGCCACCUGGGAAGUACGGCCGCAAGGCUGAAACUUAAAGGAAUUGGCGGGGGAGCACCACAACGGGUGGAGCUUGCGGUUUAAUUGGAUUCAACGCCGGAAAUCUUACCGGGACCGACAGCAACAUGAAGGCCAGGCUGAAGACUUUGCCGGAUUAGCUG
rnacentral:rRNA from 1 species